rnacentral:rRNA from 1 species
GAUGAACGCUGGCGGCGUGCUUAACACAUGCAAGUCGAACGGAAAGGCCAGUGCUUGCACUGGUACUCGAGUGGCGAACGGGUGAGUAACACGUGGGUGAUCUGCCCUGCACUUCGGGAUAAGCCUGGGAAACUGGGUCUAAUACCGGAUAGGACAAUGGUUUGGAUGCCGUUGUGGAAAGUUUUUUCGGUGUGGGAUGAGCUCGCGGCCUAUCAGCUUGUUGGCGGGGUAAUGGCCUACCAAGGCGUCGACGGGUAGCCGGCCUGAGAGGGUGUACGGCCACAUUGGGACUGAGAUACGGCCCAGACUCCUACGGGAGGCAGCAGUGGGGAAUAUUGCACAAUGGGCGCAAGCCUGAUGCAGCGACGCCGCGUGGGGGAUGACGGCCUUCGGGUUGUAAACUCCUUUCGCUAGGGACGAAGCGUAUUUGUGACGGUACCUGGAGAAGAAGCACCGGCUAACUACGUG